rnacentral:rRNA from 1 species
UACGUAGGGUGCGAGCGUUAAUCGGAAUUACUGGGCGUAAAGCGUGCGCAGGCGGUUCGUUGUGUCGGCGGUGAAAGCCCCGGGCUCAACCUGGGAAUGGCCGUUGAAACUGGCGAACUGGAGUGUGGCAGAGGGGGGGUGGAAUUCCGCGUGUAGCAGUGAAAUGCGUAGAGAUGCGGAGGAACACCGAUGGCGAAGGCAGCCCCCCUGGGCUGACACUGACGCCUCAGGCACGAAAGCGUGGGGAGCAAACAGG